UACGAAGGGGGCUAGCGUUGCUCGGAAUCACUGGGCGUAAAGCGCACGUAGGCGGAUUUCUAAGUCCGGGGUGAAAUCCUGGAGCUCAACUCCAGAACUGCCUUUGAUACUGGGAAUCUCGAGUCCGGGAGAGGUGAGUGGAACUGCGAGUGUAGAGGUGAAAUUCGUAGAUAUUCGCAAGAACACCAGUGGCGAAGGCGGCUCACUGGCCCGGUACUGACGCUGAGGUGCGAAAGCGUGGGGAGCAAACAGG
rnacentral:rRNA from 1 species